rnacentral:rRNA from 1 species
UACGAAGGGGGCUAGCGUUGCUCGGAAUCACUGGGCGUAAAGCGCACGUAGGCGGACUCUUAAGUCGGUGGUGAAAUCCUGGAGCUCAACUCCAGGACUGCCUUCGAUACUGAGAGCCUUGAGUCCGGGAGAGGUGAGUGGAACUGCGAGUGUAGAGGUGAAAUUCGUAGAUAUUCGCAAGAACACCAGUGGCGAAGGCGGCUCACUGGCCCGGUACUGACGCUGAGGUGCGAAAGCGUGGGGAGCAAACAGG